rnacentral:rRNA from 1 species
UAGGGAAUCUUCCGCAAUGGACGCAAGUCUGACGGAGCAACGCCGCGUGAGUGAAGAAGGAUUUCGGUUCGUAAAACUCUGUUGUUAGAGAAGAACAGCGCAUAGAGUAACUGUUAUGCGUGUGACGGUAUCUAACCAGAAAGCCACGGCUAACUACGUGCCAGCAGCCGCGGUAAUACGUAGGUGGCAAGCGUUGUCCGGAUUUAUUGGGCGUAAAGCGAGCGCAGGCGGUCAAUUAAGUCUGAUGUGAAAGCCCCCGGCUCAACCGGGGAGGGUCAUUGGAAACUGGUUGACUUGAGUGCAGAAGAGGAGAGGGGAAUUCCAUGUGUAGCGGUGAAAUGCGUAGAUAUAUGGAGGAACACCAGUGGCGAAGGCGACUAUCUGGUCUGUAACUGACGCUGAGGUUCGAAAGCGUGGGUAGCAAACAGG